GUGCAAAGUGAGACUUUAAAGAGCAGUGGUCAGAGAUUCUCCUAGCGUUUCUGUAUAUUUUGAGUUUUUCUAGUGGGCUCUGCUUGAAUUAUCUGUGAUUUUUAAAAUUUUCUUUCAUGGGAAAAAUUGUCUUGUAGGGGGUAAGAGACAAAUCAAGAGAAAAUCUGGUUAUGCCUUUCAGGACUCUCUGUAUUGAGUUAGUUUCUUUAUGAAACUGGAUAUGUCUGUUAAAAUUGCCUGUAUGGAGACUUCUGGAAAGAGCAUAAUUUUGAAGUACCUUACAGAAAAUGGUUCUUCUUGGGCUGGUUUUUCCUUCUAAAAGCCACUGUGCAAUCAAGAAGGAGCUACAUGAAAGUGGGAAGAUGCAAACACACAAGUCUAGGCCGUCCACAUUAAACACCCAAGAAGGGGAAACAAACCCCCUCAUUUUCCUGCAGGAGUAGACAUGAGUAAGAGAUGUCAGUGCAGCUAUGACAUCUGUUUACAUGGGGAUUUUAUGCACCUGUUCACUAGGCAAUAACAAAUGCUUACCAUGGUGGUAGCUGUAUCACACGGUACAUAUGCUGCUUCUGACAUACAUAACACCUCUUUAAGGAAACACAUGGCCCCAUAUGUCAUGAGAACUUGUUUACAUUCUACAAUACAGUAAUGGAAAAUAUGUUUCAUAAUAAAUGUUUUCAUCAUUUUUGUGUUUAAGGAAAGAAUGGGAGUUUUACGCCCUAGCUGUCAAGCUGAGUGUCCUCCCUCAUUGUUCUCAUUGAGAGAUGUGUGGCUCUGGAGCAAACAUCCUACAAGCUUUCUAAGUUCAGAGGAGUUUGGAUCUCAGCCGGUCAGUUUUAGUGGCCAAUGCCUAUGAAAAGGGUAAAAUUAGGAAAAAGAAGUAAGAUAGGAACAUAUAUUUGGGUGUAAACCAGAGUAUUUAUUUAUUUGGUUUGCUAUCAAGCGACCACUUUCUGGUCACUUUGGCAAGAGCUAAUGUUAUAUAUUGCCUAUGUAGAGCUCUCGGAAUACUGAAGCCACCUCAGGAAGAUUAUUCCCAUCAUAUUUAGAACCCCAUCUUUUAGUUCAGUCGCCCUGGAACCAGGAAAAGGAAUCAUAUUACUUCACAUCCAUAAAAUGAAGCAGAUUCCUGCUUGAAGAUUGUCCAGCCCAACCUCCAGAGAAAUUAGUUUAUAUAGCUUUUAGCUUUGAUAUGGUUUGAGUGAGAUUAUUCGGAUUUAUGUUGCCAUUUUAAAGCUUUUCUCUUUCAGUAAUUCUUCAGUUUUCGAUUGUCAGUGCAAGAUUACUUGUACACAUGGGCUUUGUCCUGGGUUCACUCCUCACUGCUGAGGCAAGAUUUUGUCCUACGAUUAAACUAAAAUGACAGUAAGAACUCAACAGAAUAACCUUUUCCCUUGGAAGACAGGUCCAAGAGCUAAUAAUUCUCAUUGCAGUGAUUUUUUUCCCCUUGAUAUGUACACUAACUGUCAAUUUCUGAUAUUUGCUUUUGUGGAGUUACUAAACAAAAGCAAAAAUCAGACUCUAUCUUGUUAGGUGAAACCACUGAUUUACAAACAAAGAUGAAAUGUGAAUGUAGAGCUAAGUGGACAAACAACUUUUAUUAUUUUGAUGUAAGGAAUGAUACGUUGAUAUAUUGUUCAAAUACAUCUUUCCUCUGAGUAGUCCUUCUGCAAAGCAAUAUCACCACUACUACAGCAGUUCACUUGAUAGUAGUGAAUGCAUGAAUAGAGCAUUUAUUCCAAAAUAUAAUAGCCUAAUCUUAUCUCUUUGUGCAUAGAUUAAUGUUGUUUAACAACAAAGACUUUCCAUGAGUUUCAUAGCAUGUCCACUCCAAGUACUGUUUAUUACCUUUUAUCACCUCAUCUAUCACAUAUGCUUAUUAAAAAUUAAAAAAAGCAUUUUUUAUUCUUUAUUUUAAACUAGCUGCCUGAUAACUUCUUUAGUGCCUUUAACUGCAGUGUUGUGAGAAAUGAAGAGUGUAUUUGGCUAUUUUUUUCUGGGUUUUUUUGCAUUGGUUUAGAUUUUAUGCAGUACAAUAUUUAUUGCUUUCUCCCAGUCUGCUUUGCGGACUGGAAAGUCCUUGUCUGUUUUGGCCAAGCUUGGACAAGUGACGUAAGUCUCUGCGAUCUGAUAAACAGAGGUCACAGAGCACUUCAAAACCUUCUUCUGAAAUGUGUCAAUGGUAAAACUAUAAAAAUAGAUUGAACUGCACUUUUGGCGACAUUUUCUGACUUAUCCAUUCUCAGUGUUAGUUCCUGAGUUCCUUGGAGCUUGUGCAAUAUGUUAGGGCACGAAGCUACUCUUGCCCAUAUGUAUUUGAGGACAAAGAUACUUAUUUUGAGCACGUCAUUGCAAAACGUUAAAACAAAACACCUCCCAAACUGUCUGGUUCUUGCAGUUUGCUUAAUGGGGAGAAGCAUGACAUAUUAUUUAAUAACACCAGAAGCCCAAGGCCCUAAUUUAACAAAGCAAAUAAGUCUCUUUGACUUCAAGGAUGCUUAAAGUUAACCAUGUGCUUCAUUGCCUUGAGGAAUUGGGGCCAUAUAUAGAGUGAUAAUGCACAGCCUAUUAAAAAAUGACCUGGUUAAAACAUAGGCUUACAAGAUUUUAAUAGUGCUCAGUUUAUAGAUAAUUCCAAUUUCUUAUAAACAUAUAAACUAUAUAAACAUUAACACAUAAAAACUUAAAGUUUUUUGUCCAUAGGAUGAAUUCACAGCUGUUUCUCCCAUAUAGAAGCUUGGUCUUCAUCCCACAUAUAUAUAUAUAAAAUAUGUAUAUAUAACGUAUACAUAUAUGUAUAUUUAUAUAAUAUAUAUCUUUAUCUAGAUAUAGAUAUAUAUGUAGGUUAUUCCUGUAAUUAAGACCGACUCAUUAUGAGUACAUGUAAUAGAAGGGAUAGCAAGUCUUGUUUGACUUAGAAUUCUUGUCAGUCAUUUCUUUCUUUUAAACACUUUCCCACCUUUUUGAAUUGUAUUAAUUCUAAACACAUAAAUAGAGCAAUUUUGAAAAUACUGGGGACACAUUGAAGUGUUGCCUCUUAACCCAUCAAUUUGUUUUUUAUGUCCUUUAGAAAAAGGAGGAUGUUUUCAACUUCAACUCUGUCAGGGUACACAAGUACCUUUUAAAGCAGUGGUUGUAAUCUUGUUUUCAGGGGCUUGUACAUUAAUAUGAUACUGAAAUUUGCAGUGAAAUCUUACCUAUUAAUUUCUUCUAUAAACUUUAUUAAACUGGAUUAUUGCUCAUGUACUUUGGUGUCUCGUUUACAGCAGAGAGCUGACAAGCUUUAUGAAUGGGAGAACAGCAUCAUUUAAAAAAGAAAACAACUUCAAAUCCCUAAGGAAGAACCGUUUCCCAGCAUUUUAACACAGAAUACAAUGUUCCAUCACUCUGAAGCCAACUGGGUUUUUUUACUUAUUUUCAAGACAAGAAACAAUUUGAUAACAACCUACAGAAACUUGGCAAGAUAAUUAAAUAAUAAUUUUUCUUCUGAUGUCUGAUCAAACCAUAAAGAGAAAAAUCACAAAGAUGAGACAAAUUUUAUUUUGCCAUCAUAUGUGGUGAGCGAUUUUUGAGAAGUAUAAUUUCCUCACUACAGGGAACCGGUGCUCAUUAAUAGCACAGCCAAGCAAAAUUUCUGAAAAUUGUUAUUGUAAUGUUUACAUAAUGAGGUCAUAUUUUUUUCAUUUAUGAAGUACAGGUGCAAAAUCUAAACACUUUGCUCCCAGAAGUGCAACUUUCCAGCCGUUUCUUUCUUAAGUGGUCCUUGCAAACAUAACCAGCCAACUAUUAAUGGGCUAUGGAAAACUUUGGGAAAUCUUUUUAAUUUUUUCUUUUUUGCCUCUUGCGACCCUACCAAUGCAAAAAACCCAAACCUAUCACUCUAAAUCUGUUUGCUCUUUGAUUUUCUUUCUAUCCUUUUUUUUUAAUUUCUGUUUUGUUUUUUGAGGACCAGUUAACCUACAGAAGAGCAUCUGCUGGACCCUGCCUGGGAAAGCAGACGUGGAAGCCUUGCAAAUGUCAAAGCCAAGGAGUGGGUCGGACCCCAGAUGAGUAUUUCUUCUCUGGAACGUGUUCCUCUCCGUGCAGAGCGACCUCAGCCUGUCUGGGUGCCAGGGGAGUGAUCUCCAUCUGUUGAACGCUUGUCAGGUGAACUGCUGACCUACACUGAUCUAACACCCUGCAACACCUGCGAGCUGCUCGACCGCGGCCACCGGGCCGCCGAACAACACGGAGCAAGAUGCACCCGCAACAGCUUGGAGGAAACUGGGUCAAUUUUUUAUAGACUUUAAAAUGAAAUAUGAAUAAAACUCCUUCUGAGAGCAGUAAAGCUGGAAGCAAUUCCAAGCCUUCCUUGAGCAGAAAGGCUGCUCUGUUUCUUGACUCCCAGACACGAACACUGAAGCGUUAGCCUGUCAUCCACUGAGCACUUCAACCACAGUAAAGGAUGCACCUGGGCUCGGAAGAUCAAAGCUCUGCUCAGUCUUCUCAAGUUGGAUAUUCUGGUAUUUCUGGUGCAUCUUGCAUAUGUAGAAACAGCAAAAUUUCUCUUGGGGAACAGGCAUCAGCACAGAGAGGGGACAGAUGGUGUUCGAUACGGAGACCGAACUACAGCUCGAUCUUCCCAAAGAAAGUGGGUCCUGCAAGAGCAAGGGAAGACAUCAGUUAAAUUGUCACAAAUAAGCCCCAACUGUUGCAAAACAGCAUCUGAUUUCCUAGAUUAAUCUGAAAGGAGAAAGAAAUAUUCUGGCAGUCCUACCUGAUGUUUCAAGCCUCAGUGGGUAUAUCCAGCCCUACUCGAGCAUGGGGUGUAAGUAUGUAUGCUGCUUGAACUUGCUUCUUUGCAACACUUAAACAAAUAUAGAAAAUUAAUAGAAAUAUCAAGACACUGGAAAAAACAACAUCAAAAUAGAAUUCUUAUGAACUGAUGAGCUGAGAGUUGAGCUGGUACCGGCAGAGUGGGAUCAGUCAGUGGUCAGAUACCAUCUGCUGGAUUUCCAUAUUUUUCAGCCAUCUUUAAGACUGAUUCCUUGUGUUACAUGAGCCAGAGGGAGCCUGGAACUACACAACCUGUUGUUAAAGAAACUUGCACCAUCACCAGGCAUCAGCUCCAAUCUCCAGAGGCCCAGUCUCCAGACAAUCAACUCGUGUGCUGUUAGUGCUUUGUUUCUCUCACUUCUCCUGUGUACAUAUGAAACUGUCGAGCUGAAUUACACUUUAUAAGGUGAUAGGGAAAAGAUCUAACAUUUAUUUUUCCCUCUUACUAAUUUUUACAGUGUGGGUAAGCUAAUUUUUGCAGCCUAAAAACCAACAAAGCAAAACAAGCCCUGCUAUUCUUGACAUCUUUCAGGUAAACAAGAAAAGCAUUUGACAUCAUUUGCAAUUAUUAUCACGUUUUAAAAGCUCUGCUUUCAUAAACAGAUGAGGCAUGACAACAAAUGAUGCUUAUUGAAAUCUAAAUUUUUACAUUAAAUACACCAAAUGAGCACAAAAGUAGAAUUUAAAGCCUAGGCAGAAGUCUGGGAUCACCUUCCAAAUCCCAUUUCCCGCUGUUUUAAGGGGGAGUUGAACGUCGUGCAGCCUCACGGUAGAGAACAAUGUUCCCUAUUAGUGCAGAUACUUGAGAUCUUCUCUAUGAUUCUUGAAAAGGGGGCCAAAAGCAGUGAUUUUCUUGCUGUUUCACUGUCCACUGUGUGGACACCAUUACUUUCCAGCCAUAUAAGCCUUUUUGAUAAUGGACAACAGAUUCCCAAGAACUGCUCAAGCUCCUGGGUGUGUGUUCCCUAUGGCAGACAGAGUGUGCUCACUUCUGAUUCUUCAGAGUAAGAGAUUUGCAGUUUCUGUGCCAAACCAGUCAAACCUCACAUCUCAUUUCGUUCACUUGAAAAUGAAAAUUGUGAGCUGUACACAACACUGGUGUUUCUGUUCCCUGCCAGCACUUCGACGCAUCUGACAGGAAAGUUCCCUCUAUGGAGUGUUUUCUGCCUUGGUGAGUUCUUUCCAUGACAUUGCUUGAAAAAUCCAGGUUUGUCGAUUCCUUUGUUCUAUUAUAUGCCCUGUAGCUGGUUCCACACAUUUAUUGCCUGACUUCUUCCUAUAGUUUUAAAUGUUCUUGUAUUGUACCAUUUAGUAAGUAAGUCCCUGCUAAAGUCAGAGCAUAAAGCUUGUUCAAGGUGCUUACAUUCCUUGAAAAGAGCCAGGCAAGCAUUUUCUCUACAAAUGAGAAUUAUUCAUCAAAUUUAUUCCACCUGGGGUUUGUAUGUGUGCAUGCAUUCUUUGUUAAGUAUUUUAGCAAAUAUUAAAAUCCCAGGUAGGUUAAGGGGAUCAGCAAAAUUCCUGCCAGUAUUAAAUGAAUAUUUGUGCAGGGUGAAUUUUGAGUGUGCUGUGUAAAGCUUAUAAUGCUUAAGACUAUAUUCUUCUGCUAAAUGGUUAAACUCUGCCCUAAGAACAAUUUGUCCAGAACAGUAGGAGAGCAGAAAAGAAGUGAGUUACUUGUAGUGAAGAACGUGCAACCAUAGGGAAGGAUUAUUUGGGAAAUUAUAAUAGGCAGUUGAAGUCUUGGAAGCAUUCAAGAGACUUCACUACUUCCAAUAGCAAAUUGUUUAUGGAGAGAAAUAAAGCUAAACCUAUCCAAUUUUUUUCAAGUAGCUCUGAUAACUUGUAAGGUUUGUGUCAGACUCUAAGUAGAAAAUUAUCACCAAUUGUAUUCCAAAGAAAGCAAUAAAAGCUUAGUAAGAGGAAAGCAAUGCUGAAGCUUCUUCAGUCAGCUCAGUAGCUUUAAUUGCUAUGCUUUUUUUUUUUUUUUGAAGGAUAUUUUUAAAACUCUGAGCCCAUUUUCUUUUCUGUGGAAAUAUUGCAACUCAUCUACAGUGUUUUCUUUUUGGUUCAUCUUGUUCUCGUCUUUCUCAAACUUACACUUUAGCUGUGUGCCUCUGGCUAUUAACCCUGUGGAUUUCUUUCAAAUAUGAGAAAACUUGAUUCUCAAAAACCACCACAGUGGGAAAACAUCCCACUUAGCCCUUGUUUUAAUGUCAAAGGGGAAAGCACCUCUGUCCUCUUAUAUUGUUGAGAAGGCACAGCAGCUUCACUUCUCAGUCAACAGCCUUGGACAGACAGAUAGCCUCAUCCUUCUUCUAUUUUUUGUCCAUCUUUCAUACCAGGAGGCAGGAAUUUCUCCUAAGAAAGAGAGAAUGUUCUUCAUAAGCUUAUGCCCCAUGGACAGUCUGUGGUUUCUUAAGGGCCCUGCACUAUCCUCAUAGAGGAUACUGGAUGUAGGAGCAUAAAACCUUCCUGGGGCAGGCAGAUUAGAAAGUUUUUCGUCCCCACUGGAGUUAGAGGCCAAGGGAGAUUUUACUCAGUGGAAUGGGCUGUGUUUUACCAUCGGUAUGAUGUGAAGAAAUAUAUCAUUAAGCUGGUUUUCUACUCACUGCUUUGAUCAUGGUGGCAGGACAAAAACAUCUCACUUGGUAGUUUGAGUGUUCUUUCACCCAAAUUUAGUCUCGCAAAUUGGAACUCCAUAGCCUUUUAAGCACAAGCUUUUCAUCAGAGGACUGGAAAUGGUUACUUGUGCCACUUAGAUUCCAGGCAGUCCUGUUAAACUCUAAAAUAGGGAAUGGCAGAGCCUUUGGAUCAGCUGACAUGCAUUUCAAGCUUUUAAAUCUGCAGGGGGAGGAAGAUUCCUCCUAUUCCAAAAGCACAGACACACUUGCUGAGUAUCAGAGAACCUCUUCCAGGCCCAAAGUGCAGGCAGGUUUGCGGGUGGAAGGGUUGGAUCCUGGUAGGGUCCCUCUGGAUGCAGCAAAAUAAAACACUCCUUCAUGUUCCCAUGAGGAUCUGAAAGUUUUUUCUAGUUAAUAAACUUCCUCUGUCCAAUUUCAUUGAUCUGCAUGGACUUGCCAAGGUGAAGGAUCUUUGUUUGCAGGCUUUUAAAAUCAGCUAAUUUAUUUGGGUUCUUUCUUUAAAAUUCUCUGCAGCUGAUUAUUACCCGGAGUCUCAAAAAUAGACUCACUGCUUUGGGAUUUGGGGGGAAAAGUGAAGCCUAUAUCUUAUCCAUAACUGUGUAAUGGUGUCUGAAAAUUUGUAUUUUUAAAAAAAAAUGUUUUUAAAAGGAGCCUCAUGAUAUUGGGAGGUUGGAUCCUAAUAGGGCAGAGGGAAGGAGGUGGAGGGGAGCAGAAUUCAGGGAAGACUGUGGCAUAAGCUUUCCCUUCUGUUACCUGGAGGCACAUUUAAACCAGCUGUUGCUGUAUUAAAGAGGGGGUUCUUUAACAUCUAAGAUAUAUGUUUAAAAAUAUAAUAUAUUUAUUCGGACAAUAUAUCUGAGUGUUUAGAAAUAGCACCCUCUGCUUUAAAUCCUUCUCAAAGGUAGAAAUGACUGGAACUUUUCUCUUGCCAUCUCAGCUGGCAACAACCCAUGUGAUAAGGACACCAUUACUCCUCGUACAGGUGAGGAAUUCCCAGGGCUUGGUGUCCUGCUCCACCAGAAGCUUUGGCCAUGGUGCACAGUCUAGGUUUGUGCUGUCUCCAUACCCUGAUGUGGAUGCCAGUCAUGAAACCACUUCUUUUGCCCACCUCCAUCUGGCAGAAUGAAGCUGAGGGACCAGGUCCCCAUGGUAGGCGUUAGUGAAACACCAGUGAAACCAGUGGGACUGCUGGUGCUAAAUCCAGAGCCCAGAGCAAUAUUUCAAGUGGGAGCAGCCAACAUGAUCAAUUGAAACAGUGGGCAAUGCAGGACCUCAGCUCUUCCCUUGCUCCCCUCCCCUCAUAUUUAUAGGUUUCUAAUUUCCGCUGGAUAAUGAAUAUCACUCUUCAUUAUAAUUAUGUUAAAAGGUACCAGCACGAUGAUUCAGAAACCCUUGAAGAUAUAGUCAUAUUUUCAGCAACAGAUGGAUUUAACACUGCAGAUGGAGUGUUAAGAGUGCAGGCAUUUUUACGCCAGGGAGAUACAAAGAGGUACUGAUCGAUUGACCAUGAUAAUCAAAUAAAGGUCUGUGAGUAUAAAUGA